CUAUGCUGACCUUGUCGCGUAUUGGUUUUCAAAGGAAGGACAUGUAUGCAUAGAUGUAUGUUUUCAAUCAAAUAAUACAAUGUCAUUAUAUCAUUUUUUUUUAACAUAUUGUUAUGCAUUUAUGAGUGAAGGAACUUAGUACAACCAAUAAGGAAAGCAGGCGAGAGCAAACAAGUGCACAUACAGGAGGAUCUAAAACUUAUGCACAACAUGCAUAUGAUAUGGAGCAAAAAGAUAAGAUUGCACUAGAUCGAGCAAAAUUAUAUAUACCG